CUGGCACAGGCUGGGCUGUGGUAAUGUGGUUUUCCCCUGCUUUUGGUGUGUGAUUUGUGACUGCAGCAGCCUGUGCUGCCCCAAGGCUGUGGUGAGCUGCCAGCGUCGCCGCUGGAAAGCUCAGAGCUAGAUGAGCAUCUUGUUCCUAGGAGAAGUGCCUGGCAGGACAGCAUGGCUGUGCUGUGGUCACACAGGGGAAAUAAACAGAGGAGCUUUUCCUCCUGAUCCACCUGGACUCUUGGUAGCAAAAGCUUGGGAGCAAGGGGGUGAAGCUGGCGGCUUCCAUUGCUGUUGUUUCAGCCUUUCCUUCUCCACUGUGGCAAUGAGAGAAAUUAAGCUCAUGGCGGAGCAUUGUAUUGUAAACUGCUGCACAUUUAUUUUUCUUCAAUGAUGUUAUCACCAGGCCAUUACACUGUCCUGGGGCAAACGGAUCUGUGCUGAGACACAGCACUGAGCACAGACUCAUGGACACUGCAGCAAGGCAGAGCUCCCCAUGCAGCACCUGCACCCAGGGGACAAGGACAAGGAGACCUCACCAUGACAGGCAGCAAGGGUUGAGCAGACCCUUUAAGUGACAUUGCAGCCCUGUGAAAUUAUGACAGGGUCUGUGAUUUUUCAGUAAACUGAAGCAAGGAGCAACUGUUGGACUCUGGUCCAAGGGUUCAGCAGGGCUUCUUUACAUCUGUGCAUGUGUCUUUGUGCUUGGGCUGGAGUAUGAGGGAGUGACUGGAGCACCUUGAUGUCAAUGUUCCUGAGGCCUUUGCCCUGCUAAACUCUUGGAAACAGAAGAUUGGUGGAAAAAUGUCGGUUUUGACAAGUCUUUCAUGCACAUAGUUCAGACCUGUCACAGCGAUGUCAAAAUUCAUCAGCCUAGUGAACCUAUUAAACCUGGGGCUGAGCUGAACCACCUACAGCUCCGGUUCAGAAGGCACAGCAGAGCCAGCCGUCCCAGCCCUUCCGGGGAAUCCCUCUUUCCCUCUCGGGGCACUCCGGAGCUGGCCCGGGUGGCGGGGUGGGAGCUCCUCGGGCCGAGCGCGGCUGCCGGGGCUCUCCGCGGGAGGGAGCGCCCACACGGGCCGGCCGGGCGGGCAGCCCCGGGCUCCGCUCCGCCUCGCUGGGCGGGCGGAUCCCGGCUCCUGAUUUUCCCGGGGGCUGCAGAGGCUUGUCCCGGCCCUGCGCGAUCCUGCUUGGCUGCCGCCCUCCCCGCCUCCCUCCACCUCCUCCUCCUCCUCCACCACCACCCCAUGUGCUUCCUGCCGGGCCAAGUUCGCGGAGCGCCGCCGCACGCCGGGCCAGCGGAGCGGAGCCGCAGCGGAGCGGGGCGCAGGGCAGCGGGCGCGGCUGCUGCGGGGCGCGGCGGGGCAGGCUCGGCGGAGCGCCGGCUCCAGCCUCGGGUCGCGCUCGCCCGGCCCCGGCGGCCCCUGCCCGCCCGCACCAUGCCGCGGCGGCGCGGCUGCCUGCCGCCCCUCCUGUGCGCGCUGGCCGCCCUCAGCCUGCCGCUGCUGCUGGCCGCCGAGCCCCGCGCCAAAAAGUUGCUCCGAAGUGCGGAGGCUCUACGCCGCCAAGGGCUUCAGCCAGAGCGAGGCGCCCAGCCACGAGAUCAGCGGGCCGCUGCUUUUAUUUCCCCUUCUGAAUGA
rnacentral:lncRNA from 1 species